rnacentral:lncRNA from 1 species
GACCACCAAUAUCCUCACCUCAGCUUGUAUGAUUUUCCUGAAGGGAGGAGGAAAAGAAAGAGAGCUGUUGGAGAGGGUUCAGAGGAGGGACACAAAGAUGAUCAGGGAGCUGGAGCACCUCCCCUACAAAGACAAGCUGAGGUAGCUAGGCUGGUUCAGCCUAGAGAGAAGAAAGCCACUGGGUAACCUAAUCGCAGCCUUUCAGUACCUAAAGGGAGCCUAUAAACAGAAGGGGAGUCAACUGCAUGACAGGAUAGCUAACAGGAGAACAAGGGGAAAUGGUUUUAAGUUGAGGGAAGGAAGAUUUAGGUUGGAUGUCAGGGGGAAGUUCGUCACUAUAACAAUGGUGAGGAUGAGAAACAAGCACCCAAAGAGACUGAGGAUGCACAGUCCCCGGAGAUGUUCAAGGCCAGGUUGGAUGGGGAGCUGGGCAGCCUGUUUUAGUAUCAAAUGAGGAGGUUGGAGGCCCCACCUGUGGGAGGGAGGGAUGGAGAUGCAUGAUACUUGAGGGCCCUCAAACCUGGAUCACUCUGAGAUUCCGUGAGAAAGGUUGGCAGGAAAUUCAACCAGUAAGAAACAAAAGCCUUAACGCUAUCAAAAACUUAAACCAAGACUAAAUACACAAAGGAAAUGAACAGCAAAUAUAACAGGAAGAACAACAUAAAAAAUUUAUUCUCAGCUGACUGUGCUGCGAAAAAGGCUGAUAAAGUCAUAAAAAACCAUUCAAACUGAGGCUCCAAAUAAAAUGAUAAUGAGAUAAACACACAAACAGAUUGCUAACUUGAUUUGAAGCCCAGGUCCCCACGCUGCUGCUUCUUCUUUCUUCUGCAGCAGCUCCUGAAACAUCAGGGGGGGGGGGGUCUCUCGGAACACAGCUCACCAAGCACACACGGGGGGCACACACAGCCCUGCCUACAGGACCGUACCCCCGCACCUCACCCUCUCCAAGAAGCCCCGCGGAGCACGAGGCUCCCGCCAACGCCUGAGCUACAGGCGGGCCCGCCCGGCAGCAGCAGAACAUCACCAACGUCUUCUCUUGGGGAACCCAGGGAGCAGCCUCGACCCACCGAGCGGGGAGGUCACCCCACACGCAAGCAGCACCUCAACCUGCACCCUCUGACGGGACAGGGAGGGGUCAUUCCCACCAGCUGGAUGGCUAAAGCAGCCGGCUGCAACGCUGCAGCCUCCCCACACCUGAGUACAGGGCGGGCGGGCGGGCUGCUCAAGGGACAGAGGGCUCCUAAGCUUGGGACACACACCCCGACUACAGGGCUGCCACGCCGCCAGCAGAACAGGCGGCCACGCAAGGACAGGCCCAAGCCCUGGCUACAGGGCGGCCUCGGCCACACAACUACCGCGUGGCUCUGAUCUGGACUAAGUAAAAAGGAG